UAUAUACCACCACCAAAAUAAUAACACAUAUGCUAUAUUUAUAGUUUACAUCAAAAGCUACCCAAAUCCUGGUCAAAUUAGAUUUCUACUCUAAUCAAUAUUUAGAUCUUAAUUUAUUUUCAACAGAUUUAAAUAUUAAUCCUAAUCAACUAGGAAUUCAACUAUAAAUCUAACAUGCUACGCAUAUUUUACCUAUACCACAAGGUUCUCAUUUCACUUUCAU
rnacentral:lncRNA from 1 species